UUUAAUUUCAUCGCUUCUUCAACUUCCUAUCUUAUCUAUUCUACUUGUUGGUUUCUCCAAAGCACUUUUACCGAAGCUAUUUCUUUAUUUCUUAACUUCUUUACUUGUCGAUCUAGGAUAGAAAUAGGCAUUAUUUCAUAGGUGAGAUCUUCUGUAACUUGUACAUCUUUAGUAGGAAUUAUAUAAGAUGGAUCUCCCAUGCACUU
rnacentral:lncRNA from 1 species